UACGGGGGGAGCAAGCGUUGUUCGGAUUUACUGGGCGUAAAGGGCGCGUAGGCGGCCAGCACAAGUCAGUUGUGAAAUCUCCGAGCUUAACUCGGAAAGGUCAACUGAUACUGUGCGGCUAGAGUGCAGAAGGGGCAACUGGAAUUCUUGGUGUAGCGGUGAAAUGCGUAGAUAUCAAGAGGAACACCUGCGGCGAAGGUGGGUUGCUGGGCUGACACUGACGCUGAGGCGCGAAAGCUAGGGGAGCGAACGGG
rnacentral:rRNA from 1 species